AGCGAACGCUGGCGGCAGGCCUAACACAUGCAAGUCGAACGAACUCUUCGGAGUUAGUGGCGGACGGGUGAGUAACACGUGGGAACGUGCCUUUAGGUUCGGAAUAACUCAGGGAAACUUGUGCUAAUACCGAAUGUGCCCUUCGGGGGAAAGAUUUAUCGCCUUUAGAGCGGCCCGCGUCUGAUUAGCUAGUUGGUGAGGUAAAGGCUCACCAAGGCGACGAUCAGUAGCUGGUCUGAGAGGAUGAUCCGCCACAUUGGGACUGAGACACGGCCCAGACUCCUACGGGAGGCAGCAGUGGGGAAUCUUGCGAAAUGGGCGAAAGCCUGACGCAGCCAUGCCGCGUGAAUGAUGAAGGUCUUAGGAUUGUAAAAUUCUUUCACCGGGGACGAUAAUGACGGUACCCGGAGAAGAAGCCCCGGCUAACUUCGUGCCAGCCGCCGCCGUAA
rnacentral:rRNA from 1 species